rnacentral:rRNA from 1 species
UACGGGGGGAGCAAGCGUUGUUCGGAUUUACUGGGCGUAAAGGGCGCGUAGGCGGUCAGCACAAGUCAGUUGUGAAAUCUCCGGGCUUAACUCGGAAAGGUCAACUGAUACUGUGCGACUAGAGUGCAGAAGGGGCAACUGGAAUUCUCGGUGUAGCGGUGAAAUGCGCAGAUAUCGGGAAGAACACCCGUGGCGAAGGCGGCUCUCUGGGACGGUACUGACGCUGAGACGCGAAAGCGUGGGGAGCGAACAGG